UGCAAGUGGGGUUUAGAUGUGGUACAGGA
rnacentral:piRNA from 1 species